CUUCCAUGUGAUAUGCUUUCCACCUGCUGAGUGGAUUCCCUGGCUGCAGUUCACUCACAUCUAUCAUCUGGAACUGUUUUCCUCUCCAUUGAGAUCCAUUGGGACAGCUCUCUUCGACACACCUUUUCUUCUUAGAAAGCUUGUCAGGUCCUGAGAAUCACCAUGGAAACAGACAUCUGGGGAGGUAUCUGCCUGCACAAAUUUAACUUGAAGAGGAAGCUGCAUCCUGAAGACAGCUGGCAUAAUCCUACAGGCUGGGGUCCUGGACUGCAAACAAAAAUAAAAGGGAAAUGGACAUAGCCUUCAUCUCUUUCUGCUUCCUGACUUCGAACAAGAUAGCAUUAGCUGUCUCAAGCUCCAGUCCCCAUGGCUUUCUCACCACAAUGGACUGUGUCCUCAAAGUGUAAGCAAAAUUAAACCCUUCUCCCUUAAAAA